rnacentral:rRNA from 1 species
GAUGAACGCUAGCGAUAGGCUUAACACAUGCAAGUCGAGGGGCAGCACAAGGUAUCUUGCUAUCUGGGUCGCGACCGGCGCACGGGUUCGUAACGCGUAUGCCACUUGCUCUAUACAGGAGGAUAACCCGUCGAAAGACUAACUAAUACUGCGUAUGCUCACAACUUGGCAUCAAUCGGUGAUGAAAGUAAUUCGUUAUAGGAUAGGCAUGCGUCCCAUUAGCUGGUUGGUGAGGUAACGGCUCACCAAUGCAACGAUGGGUAGGGGAACUGAGAGGUUGAUACCCCAGAAUGGUAAUGAGACACGGACCAGACCCGUACGGGAGGCAGCAGUGAGGAAUAUUGGUCAAUGGGGGCGAGCCUGACCCAGCCAAGUCGGGUGAAGGAUGACUGGCUUAGGGAUUGUAAACUUCUUUUAUACGGGAAUAACAAGAGUAACGCGUGACUCCCUGCAUGUACCGUAUGAAUAAGCAUCGGCUAACUCCGUG